rnacentral:sRNA from 1 species
UACAUUCGAGGCCUCCCACCAGGCACCACUGACCAGGACCUAAUCAAGCUGUGCCAACCGUAUGGAAAAAUUGUAUCUACAAAGGCAAUUCUUGACAAAAACACAAAUCAGUGCAAAGGUUAUGGUUUUGUAGAUUUUGACAGUCCUGCAGCCGCACAGAAAGCGGUAGCAUCUCUCAAGGCAAAUGGCGUGCAGGCACAGAUGGCUAAGCAACAAGAGCAAGACCCAACAAACCUAUACAUCUCAAAUCUCCCCAUUUCUAUGGAUGAGCAGGAGCUUGAGAAUAUGCUGAAACCCUUUGGACAUGUCAUUUCCACAAGAAUACUAAGAGACGCUAAUGGAGUCAGCAGAGGUGUUGGCUUUGCCAGGUAAAAUUCUUUCUUUGUAUGUAAUCGUUCUUUCCUCAUUGUUCC